CCUACGGGAGGCAGCAGUGAGGAAUAUUGGUCAAUGGGCGUAAGCCUGAACCAGCCAAGUCGCGUGAGGGAUGAAGGUUCUAUGGAUCGUAAACCUCUUUUAUAAGGGAAUAAAGUGCGGGACGUGUCCCGUUUUGUAUGUACCUUAUGAAUAAGGAUCGGCGGACUCUGUGUCAGCAGCCGCGGUGAUACGGAGGAUCCGAGCGUUAUCCGGAUUUAUUGGGUUUAAUGGGUGCGUAGGCGGCGUUUUAAGUCAGGGGUUGAAGUCUGUGGCUCAACCAUAGAAUUGCCGUUGAAACUGGGAGGCUUGAGUGUAGUAGAGGAGGGUGGAAUGCGUGGUGUAGCGGUGAAAGGCUGAGAUAGCAGGAGGAACACC
rnacentral:rRNA from 1 species